rnacentral:rRNA from 1 species
GGCUCAGGAUGAACGCUAGCUACAGGCUUGACACAUGCAAGUCGCGGGGCAGCAUUUCCUUAGCUUGCUAAGGAAGAUGGCGACCGGCGCACGGGUGAGUAACGCGUAUCCAACCUUCCCAUGUCCACGGGAUAGCCCGUCGAAAGGCGGAUUAAUACCGUAUGAGGUCACAUGCGGGCAUCUAAGUGUGACGAAAGGUUUAGCGGACAUGGAUGGGGAUGCGUCCGAUUAGCUUGUUGGCGGGGUAACGGCCCACCAAGGCGACGAUCGGUAGGGGUUCUGAGAGGAAGGUCCCCCACAUUGGAACUGAGACACGGUCCAAACUCCUACGGGAGGCAGCAGUGAGGAAUAUUGGUCAAUGGACGCAAGUCUGAACCAGCCAAGUAGCGUGCAGGAUGACGGCCCUAUGGGUUGUAAACUGCUUUUAUGCGGGGAUAAAGUGUGGGACGUGUCCCAUAUUGUAGGUACCGCAUGAAUAAGGACCGGCUAAUUCCGUG